rnacentral:rRNA from 1 species
GACGAACCGUGCGAACGUUGUUCGGAUUCACUGGGCUUAAAGGGCGCGUAGGCGGGCGACCAAGUCAGGGGUGAAAUCUUUCGGCCCAACCGGAAAAGUGCCCCUGAUACUGGCCGCCUCGAGGGGGGUAGGGGCAUGCGGAACUUCCGGUGGAGCGGUGAAAUGCGUAGAUAUCGGAAGGAACGCCGGUGGCGAAAGCGGCGUGCUGGACCGCUUCUGACGCUGGGGCGCGAAAGCCAGGGGAGCAAACGGG